AUGCUUACUUCAGCAGCACAUAUGCUAAAAUUGGAAUGAUACAGUAAAUAUUAGCAUGUCCCCUGCAUAAAGAUGACACACAAAUUUGUGAAGCAUUUCAUAUUUUA